AGCGAGACAACAGGGCAUUGCCCUAUUAACGGCGAUUGAAGCGGCAAUAUCUCAAAUUUGAAAUCUGGCUCUGCUCUAGGGUCCGAGUUGUAAUUUGUACAGGGUGCUUUGGCACUGAUGGCGGUCUAAGUUCCUUGGAACAGGACAUCACAGAGGGUGACAAUCCCGUACGUGGUCGCUAAUCUUUGCCGUGUAAAGCCCCUUCAACGACUCCAGUUGUUUGGGAAUGCAGCUCUAAAUGGGAGGUAAAUUUCUUCUAAAGCUAAAUAUUGGCCAGAGACCGAUAGCGCACAAGUACAGUGAUCGAAAGAUGAAAAGCACUUUGGAAAGAGAGUCAAAAAGCACGUGAAAUUGUUGAAAGGGAAGCGCUUGCCGCCAGACUUGUCUGCAGUUGCUCACCUAGGCGUUCAGCCUGGGGCACUCUUCUGUAGGCAGGCCAGCAUCAGUUUGGGCAGCCGGAUAAAGGUCUCUGACACGUUCCUUCUACCUUUGUGUAGAUGGCCAUAUAGGGGAGACGUCAUGCGGUUAUCCUGGACUGAGGUCCGCGCAUUGCUAGGAUGCUGGCGUAAUGGCUGCAAGCGGCCCGUCUUGAAACACGGACCAAGGAGUCUAACAUCUAUGCGAGUGUUUGGGUGUCAAGCCCGAGCGCGCAAUAAACGUGAACGGAGGUGGGAACUCUCUCUUGGGGGUGCA
rnacentral:rRNA from 1 species